AUUGAACGCUGGCGGCAGGCCUAACACCUGCAAGUCGAACGAGUGGCGGACGGGUGAGUAAUGUCUGGGAAACUGCCCGAUGGAGGGGGAUAACUACUGGAAACGGUAGCUAAUACCGCAUACCAUCGGAUGUGCCCAGAUGGGAUUAGCUAGUAGGUGGGGUAACGGCUCACCUAGGGGACGAUCCCUAGCUGGUCUGAGAGGAUGACCAGCCAACCUGGAACUGAGAAACGGUCCAGACGCCUACGGUAGGCAGCAGUGGGGAAUAUUGCACAAUGGGCGCAAGCCUGAUGCAGCCAUGCCGCGUGUAUGAAGAAGGCCUGCGGGUUGUAAAGUACUUUCAGCGAGGAGGCGUUCCUCGCAGAAGAAGCACCGGCUAAUUCCGUGCCAGCAGCCGCGGUAAUAC
rnacentral:rRNA from 1 species